UUUUGGAAGUAAAAGUCGUAACAAGGUUU
rnacentral:rRNA from 1 species